UACGGAGGGUGCAAGCGUUAUCCGGAUUUACUGGGUUUAAAGGGUGCGUAGGUGGUCAGGUAAGUCAGUGGUGAAAUCUCCGAGCUUAACUCGGAAACUGCCAUUGAUACUAUCUGUCUUGAAUAUCCUGGAGGUAAGCGGAAUAUGUCAUGUAGCGGUGAAAUGCUUAGAUAUGACAUAGAACACCAAUUGCGAAGGCAGCUUACUACGGGAUUAUUGACACUGAGGCACGAAAGCGUGGGGAUCAAACAGG
rnacentral:rRNA from 1 species